rnacentral:rRNA from 1 species
UACGAAGGGGGCUAGCGUUGCUCGGAAUGACUGGGCGUAAAGGGCGCGUAGGCGGUUUGGACAGUCAGAUGUGAAAUUCCUGGGCUCAACCUGGGGGCUGCAUUUGAUACGUUCGGACUAGAGUGGGGAAGAGGGUCGUGGAAUUCCCAGUGUAGAGGUGAAAUUCGUAGAUAUUGGGAAGAACACCGGUGGCGAAGGCGGCGACCUGGUCCUCGACUGACGCUGAGGCGCGAAAGCGUGGGGAGCAAACAGG